rnacentral:rRNA from 1 species
CAAUAGCGUAUAUUAAAGUUGUUGCGGUUAAAAGCUCGUAGUUGGAUUUCUGCUGAGGACGAUCGGUCCGCCCUCUGGGUGAGCAUUGACUCGGCCUUGGCAUCUUCUUGGAGAACGCUACUGCACUUGACUGUGUGGUGCGGUAUCCAGGACUUUUACUUUGAGGAAAUUAGAGUGUUUCAAGCAGGCGCACGCCUUGAAUACAUUAGCAUGGAAUAAUAGGAUAGGACCUUGGUUCUAUUUUGUUGGUUUGUUGAACUAGAGUAAUCACAAUAAGGAUAGUUGGGGGUAUUCGUAUUUAACUGUCAGAGGUGAAAUUCUUGGAUUUUUUAAAGACGAACAAUUGCGAAGGCAUCUACCCAGGAUGUUUUUGUUGAUCAAGAACGAAAGUUAGGGGAUCGAAGACGAUUAGAUACCAU